rnacentral:rRNA from 1 species
GGUGGUAAUGCCGGAUGCUCCAGUUGAUCGCAUGGUCUUCUGGGAAAGCUUUCGCGGUAUGGGAUGGGGUCGCGUCCUAUCAGCUUGACGGCGGGGUAACGGCCCACCGUGGCUUCGACGGGUAGCCGGCCUGAGAGGGCGACCGGCCACAUUGGGACUGAGAUACGGCCCAGACUCCUACGGGAGGCAGCAGUGGGGAAUAUUGCACAAUGGGCGCAAGCCUGAUGCAGCGACGCCGCGUGAGGGAUGGAGGCCUUCGGGUUGUAAACCUCUUUUAUCGGGGAGCAAGCGUGAGUGAGUUUACCCGUUGAAUAAGCACCGGCUAACUACGUGCCAGCAGCCGCGGUAAUACGUAGGGUGCAAGCGUUAUCCGGAAUUAUUGGGCGUAAAGGGCUCGUAGGCGGUUCGUCGCGUCCGGUGUGAAAGUCCAUCGCUUAACGGUGGAUCCGCGCCGGGUACGGGCGGGCUUGAGUGCGGUAGGGGAGACUGGAAUUCCCGGUGUAACGGUGGAAUGUGUAGAUAU